GACGAACGCUGGCGGCGUGCUUAACACAUGCAAGUCGAACGGAAAGGCCCUGCUGUUGUGGGGUGCUCGAGUGGCGAACGGGUGAGUAACAAGUGAGUAGCCUGCCCUUGACUUUGGGAUAACUUCAGGAAACUGGGGCUAAUACCGGAUAGGAGCUCCUGCUGCAUGGUGGGGGUUGGAAAGUUUCGGCGGUUGGGGAUGGACUCGCGGCUUAUCAGCUUGCUGGUGGGGUGGUGGCUUACCAAGGCUUUGACGGGUAGCCGGCCUGAGAGGGUGACCGGCCACAUUGGGACUGAGAUACGGCCCAGACUCCUACGGGAGGCAGCAGUGGGGAAUAUUGCACAAUGGGCGGAAGCCUGAUGCAGCAACGCCGCGUGCGGGAUGACGGCCUUCGGGUUGUAAACCGCUUUCGCCUGUGACGAAGCGUGAGUGACGGUAAUGUGUAAAGAAGCACCGGCUAACUACGUG
rnacentral:rRNA from 1 species